AACAAUUUGACUGAUGCGGAUCAGAAUCCGUUCAUAAAAAGUGGACCAGAAUGUUAUCAGUUUGGAUGAUGAGCAGCAGAAAACGUUGGUUCAUAAUGGACCUGCAUGUAAUCAGGAAAUGGGACUUGCUAAUUUGGAUGAUGAGCAGAAAACAAUAAAAAAACAUGGAGCAGCUUGUGAUGAGGAUUACACGUAUAUAAAGAUUCCUACAUUCUUCCUACGUUCUCUUUAAACCCAGGUAAAGCUUCUCUUUUUUAAUGUUUAUUUAUGUAGGGAUUGUGUAGAUAAAGCUUCUUCAAACUUUCAACAUCUUCACUACAAAGUCCACAAGAACUAGAGAAUUUUUAGGCAUAACCUUUUCUUAUUUAGGCAUACAAAUCUUAAUACUACAUGUUUUAGGCAUAAUAUGCGUAGACUGAAAGAAGUUAAACGC